rnacentral:rRNA from 1 species
UACGUAGGGGGCAAGCGUUGUCCGGAAUCAUUGGGCGUAAAGGGCGCGUAGGCGGCCCGGUAAGUCCGCUCUGAAAGUCCAGGGCUUAACCCUGGAAAGCGGGUGGAUACUGCCGGGCUUGAAUCCGGAAGAGGCGAGUGGAAUUCCUGGUGUAGCGGUGGAAUGCGCAGAUAUCAGGAGGAACACCAACGGCGAAGGCAGCUUGCUGGGACGGUACUGACACUGAGACGCGAAAGCGUGGGGAGCAAACAGG